rnacentral:rRNA from 1 species
UACGGGGGGGGGUAAGCGUUGUUCGGAAUUAUUGGGCGUAAAGGGCUCGUAGGCGGUCUGUUGCGUCAGGAGUGAAAAACUCGGGGCUUAACCCCCGAGCCUGCUUCUGAUACGGGCAGACUAGAGGUAUGCAGGGGAGAACGGAAUUCCUGGUGUAGCGGUGAAAUGCGCAGAUAUCAGGAGGAACACCGGUGGCGAAGGCGGUUCUCUGGGCAUUACCUGACGCUGAGGAGCGAAAGUGUGGGGAGCGAACAGG